rnacentral:lncRNA from 1 species
ACAGUGCUGUAUAAAAAUCAGUGCAUUCAAAUAAAAGGAAUGUUUGGGAACCCUGGGGAGAUGGAGCUGUCAGCCAGCUGAGGCAGGCCCUGUCUAGAGAACGGAUUAAUUCUGUCUCUUUUAUCUUGGCAGACUUUUUCUCAGGCUCUUUCCUAUCACAGGUGACUGAGGAUAUCAGCUAGAUAGCACACCUACAGACUCCGCCCUUCCCCAGGGCCUGAGUGAACAGAAGCUGGGAUGAUGGAGGACGGGCUACUGGCUGAUGGGAAAGGCAAAGAAUCACUGAGCUUGGACCAAGAGAUCCUUGGAAAGCUGGGGUGGGGAUGGCUUCAAAUCCCCCAUCAAUUCGCUCUUCCAAAAACACUGAUAUUUGGAUGUUGUACUGGCUGGUUUUGUGUGUCAACUUGACACAAGCUGGAGUUAUCACAGAGAAAGGAGCUUCAGUAAAGACGGAGCCCAGAGCAUGGAGUGUGUUUACCAUCAAAGCUACGCCCCCUCCCUCAGCUCAGAGAAUCAUCUUUAAAUUUUCCUGGACUUGGAAAGAAACGCAAAUAUAAAACCACCCACCUCUGUUGGUGCGGUGAUGCUAACCCAAAACCAUCUCUUGCCGUUUUGAUGGCACAUGGCUGGGAUCUACACACUUCUGUCUUUGCAGCGUUAAGUGAUAAACUUUUUGAGGCCCCUUGAGCCACGUGGAGUCUCCGCUGAAUGCUUGCUUUGUUAUUUCCCUCUACAGCCUGUAAAAAAAUUGUAAAAGCCUUUCACAUGUUUCAGAGACUAUAUAAACUCAGACUGCAGACCCAAUUUAAAGCCUGCAGGCCAUAAUCUGUGGGCUCUUGGUUUAUGGAAAGCGUUUGCCUCUGAGAUAGUGUCUAAUAUCAGCUCUCUCCUCGGAAAGAUGGUGUGUGUGUGUGUGUGUGUGUGUGUGUGUGUGUGUGUAGCCACACUUGCUUGACAGUAGAAUAUUAGCAGGCAAGAGAGCAAGGCUUGGCUACCUGCUAGCUCAUGGGUGACAGACACAGGGAGAGCAAAGUCUAGCUGGGAAUCUCAGCCAGCCUGUGAUGCUCUACAACACACACUCAGAAAAGGCCUCGGCCUGGGGAAGGGCUCAGAGUCAGAGUGCAAGUUUAGCCUGCUCAAGGCUCUGCUUUUGAUGCAGACGGAGAAUGAAACGGGAGCAGGAAGAAAGGAAGAGAUGGCCUCUGUGGGGUGUGGACUGAGGGGCUGUUGAAUCAUUGCAGUUCUUUCUCUUUAGCUCAGGAAGCACUUACACAAAACGCUUCUUUUACAGCUCUUACAUUUACGUAUCUGUGUGAGUGUGUGUAUGUCUCUACGCAGGUGAUCGCCGUGGAGCAAGUGGGGAGUUCACAGAGCAACAGGUGGACUGACCCCAGGUUGUCAGGCUUGUGACAAGCACCAUUCGUUGACACACAAAGUACUUCUUCAAGUGUGGGCAGGGAAUACCUGCAAAGUGCCUCAGAAUCACUGAAGGUGGUUCCCGGGGCCCUCACAUAGUAGAAAGGAAUACUUUAGGCUAGCAAGGGAGAAACAGACCAUGGAUUGUAAGACCUUAUUUAUUUAUUUUUUCCAGUACUGAGGAUUGAACCCAGGGCCUCAGGCAUGCUAGGCAAAGUUUUACCAAUGAGCAGCCACCACCCCACCACCCCCCAUACCAGACUUUAAUGAGUUCUUUGACUCCUAUGGACAAUAGCUGUUUUGCUUUGGUUUGGUUUUGCCCUGUAGCUUUUUGGAGAUUAUUGGCUUGUUUCUAUUUUACAUGUGUGAAUAUUUUGCCCGCAUGCACCACAUGUGAAAUGUGUCUCUCCAGCUCCUGCUUUGUUAUAAAGAUAAGAUCUUACAGCGAUCAGCCUGGCCUUAAACUCCUUCCUCGUCCUCUUGCUUCUAUCUCCCAAGGGCUAGGAUUACAGGUGUGCACCACCACGGGUUGCUAGCAAUAGCUACCAUUCAUUCAUUCACUUUACAGUGCAAUCGCUGUGUGUGUGUGUGUGUGUGUGUGUGUGUGUGUGUGUGUGUUAGAAUUAUUCUACACAAUAGAAUAACUAUUAAUACUGUGUUCUUACAAUGUAUCUUUUCCUUUUCUUUUUUUACCCUCUGCGUUUUGGGACUAGGUUUUAUGGGUCCCACACUGGCCUGGAACUAGCUGUACAGUUGAAAAUGACCUUGAACUUUCACCUCUCUUGGUUCUGUCUAGUGGACGCUGGGAUCAGUGUAUGCAGUGUUGGGGUGGAACCCAGGGCCUCAUUCACGAUAGACAAGAAGUGCCCUGCCAACCCAAUUACAUGUCCAGCUCAACAAUGCUUCUUAGCACAGUUAAUGAAUAGAAUAAUAAGCUGGUGUGGUGGCCCAAGCCUUUUCUAGUUCUUGGGAAACAGAGUCAGGCAGAGUUCUGUGUGUUUAAAGCCAGCCUGGUCUACAUAGCAAACUCCAGGCCAGUAAGAACCCAUCUCAAAUAUAUGUGUACACACACACACACACACACACACACACACACACAUAUGUAUAUAUAAUUAAUAAAUGUGUUAAUAAAU